rnacentral:rRNA from 1 species
UACGUAGGCAGCAAGCGUUGUUCGGAGUUACUGGGCGUAAAGGGUGCGUAGGCGGCUUUUUAAGUCUGGUGUGAAAUCUCCCGGCUCAACUGGGAGGGUGCGCCGGAUACUGAGGGGCUAGAGUGUGGGAGAGGAAAGUGGAAUUCCUGGUGUAGCGGUGAAAUGCGUAGAUAUCAGGAGGAACGCCGGUGGUGUAAACGGCUUUCUGGACCAUAACUGACGCUGAGGCACGAAAGCGUGGGUAGCAAACAGG